CCCAGCAGCACGCACCUGCCAUGGCCUCCAGUGGGCCCCACACAACACUGUCCCUGGGGGGUGCAGAGCGGCUGGGAGGUGGCAAGCGGCCACCUCAGUGGCCAUGUCAGUGUGACCUCAGAUCUUUUCAUCAUGAUCCUAGAGAGAGCAAUUGUCCAAUCCUGGAGCAUGUUUGUGUUGCCGGCUGCAGAUCAGGGCUCUCCAUCUGCACAGAGCUAAACCAGCUCAGCCAGCCCUGAUGAGAAGACCAAGGGGAGAGAUAUUACGUCUCAGUUGGGACUACCCCCAUCCAUGCUUCUCACAAACACACGCACAAAAGUCAACUGUAUUUCCCAGCCUUCCUUGCAGAGAGCUGUGUCUGUGAGUCUGAGUUUCCUACAUAGGCAUUGUUGGAAGCCACAUGUUAACAAUGAUAAAGCCAAAACAUAGAAGAAAUCAGGUCCUUGAAUCACCACUUGGAGGAGAAUGGCCCACCAAUCCAGAACAUCUAGC